CCUACGGGCGGCAGCAGUGGGGAAUAUUGCACAAUGGGCGAAAGCCUGAUGCAGCAACGCCGCGUGAGCGAUGAAGGCCUUCGGGUCGUAAAGCUCUGUCCUCAAGGACGAUAAUGACGGUACUCGAGGUGGAAGCCCCGGCUAACUACGUGCCAGCCGCCGCGGUAAUACGGGGGAUGCAAGCGUUAUCCGGAUUUAAUGGGUUUAAAGGGUGCGUAGGCUGUGAGGUAAGUCAGCGGUGAAAUGCCGCCGCUCAACGGGCUGAAGUGCCAUUGAUACUGCCUUGCUGGAGUGCGGGUGCGGUGGGAGGAAUGUGGGGUGUAGCGGUGAAAUGCAUAGAUAUCACGCAGAACACCGAUUGCGAAGGCAUCUGACGGGUCCGAGAUUGACGCUGAUGCACGAAAGCGUGGGUAUCAAACAGGAUUAGAUACCCUGGUAGUC
rnacentral:rRNA from 1 species